rnacentral:rRNA from 1 species
GCAUAUCAAUAAGCGGAGGAAAAGAAACCAACAGGGAUUGCCCUAGUAACGGCGAGUGAAGCGGCAACAGCUCAAAUUUGAAAUCUGGCUCUUUUAGAGUCCGAGUUGUAAUUUGCAGAGGGCGCUUUGGCUUUGGCAGCGGUCCAAGUUCCUUGGAACAGGACGUCACAGAGGGUGAGAAUCCCGUACGUGGUCGCUGGCUAUUGCCGUGUAAAGCCCCUUCGACGAGUCGAGUUGUUUGGGAAUGCAGCUCUAAAUGGGAGGUAAAUUUCUUCUAAAGCUAAAUACUGGCCAGAGACCGAUAGCGCACAAGUAGAGUGAUCGAAAGAUGAAAAGCACUUUGGAAAGAGAGUCAAACAGCACGUGAAAUUGUUGAAAGGGAAGCGCUUGCAGCCAGACUUGCUUGCAGUUGCUCAUCCGGGCUCUUUUGCCCGGUGCAUUCUUCUGCAGGCAGGCCAGCAUCAGUUUGGGCGGUGGGAUAAAGGUCUCUGUCACGUACCUCUCUUCGGGGAGGCCUUAUAGGGGAGACGACAUACCACCAGCCUGGACUGAGGUCCGCGCAUUUAUGCUAGGAUGCUGGCGUAAUGGCUGUAUCCGACCCGUCUUGAAACACGGACC